rnacentral:rRNA from 1 species
ACAUGCCUACAUCAUAGUGUUAAUGCACCGGAUCCCAUUAGAACUCUGUAGUUAAGCUCGCUCAGGCUAGAGUAGUACUAGGAUGGGUGACCACCCGAGAAGUCCUAGUGUUUUACAUGCC